rnacentral:rRNA from 1 species
GACGAACGCUGGCGGCGUGCUUAACACAUGCAAGUCGAGCGGUAAGGCCCUUUCGGGGGUACACGAGCGGCGAACGGGUGAGUAACACGUGGGUGACCUGCCCUUAGCUCUGGGAUAAGCCUGGGAAACUGGGUCUAAUACCGGAUAUGACCUCAUGACUCAUGUUGUGGGGUGGAAAGCCUUGUGCGGCUAGGGAUGGGCCCGCGGUCUAUCAGCUUGUUGGUGGGGUAAUUGCCUACCAAGGCGACGACGGGUAGCCGGCCUGAGAGGGCGACCGGCCACACUGGGACUGAGACACGGCCCAGACUCCUACGGGAGGCAGCAGUGGGGAAUUUUGGACAAUGGGGCAACCCUGAUCCAGCCAUGCCGCGUGCGGGAAGAAGGCC